rnacentral:lncRNA from 10 species
GCCUGGAUAAUUUUUUUUUUUUUUUUUUUAGUAGAGACAGGGUUUCACCGUGUUAGCCAGGAUGGUCUUGAUCUCCUGACUUUGUGAUCUGCCUGCCUUGGCCUCCCAAAGUGCUGGGAUGACAGGCGUGAGCCACCGCACCCGGCCCAAAUGUCUUCCCUUUCUUAACCAUCCCAUCACUCCCUCUCUUCAUCAACAGCAGUAUGUCCAAAUUAUUCCCAUGACAGCUCUUACCCAUUUUACUGUAAUUUUUCAUUUGCAGUUCUGUGUAUGUCCUCAAAGGCCAAGCAGCUAGUCUAUGAGGUGCUCCAGAAGCAUUCAGGACCGCUAACAUUGAUUCAGAGAUGACCAUCUGCCAGGCACAGUGCUGACUGCCUUUGUAUGGAUCAUCUCAUUUAAUCCUCUCAACAACCUUAUUUGACAAGUAUCCCCAUCUUACAAAAGAGAAAACUGAAGCUCAGAGAGUUUAAGUAAUGUGUCCAGAGAGACAUGGUCGCAGAGUGAGGAGCUAGGGUUCAAAUCCUGGAAGGAGAGACAGCUAUGGUCACUCUGCUCUACCCUCAAUUUUCUGAGAUAGGAAUUGGGAGGAAGGGUUGGCAGAAAUCUACAUUUUUAAAAAAGCAGUAAGCUGUGGAUUAUGGUCUAAGGAAUAACACAGUCCUGCUGGACUCACCUUACACACCCUUGGGCCUGCUCUGGGGAAGUGGGGGGUGGGGGACUGGGAGGCACAAGGGCACCUUUCCUGCUGCAGGUGACUCAUCGUGACCCUGGCUUAGUGACAGCCUGGCACCGUGAGCCAGCAGAAGCAGCCGUCCCAGUGUGAAUUCUGGCUGGUCUGUGAGCUCUGGACCUUACCCAGAGACUGCCUGUUCCAAAGCAGUCCCUCUGAGAUCCCUCCCUAGGGCAUACGGAAAUUACAAGAAAAAUAAUUUUUUUUUUUUGAGACGGAGUUUCAUUCCUGUUGCCCAGGCUGCCGUGCAAUGGCACGAUCUCAGCUCACCGCAACCUCCAUCUCCCGGGUUCAAGUGAUUCUCCUGCCCCAGCCUCCCGAGUAGCUGGAAUUACAGGCAUGUAUCACCAUGCCUGGAUAAUUUUUUGUAUUUUUAGUAGAGACAGGGUUUCUCCAUGUUGGUCAGGCUGAUCUCAAACUCCCGACCUCAGGUGAUCCGCCUCCCUCGGCCUCUCAAGGUGCUGGGAUUACAGGUGUGAGCCACCGCACCCGGCCAAAAAAGAAUUUUUUAAAGAAGAAUAGACCAUCCUGGCUAACAUGGUGAAACCCCGUCUCUACUAAAAACACAAAAAAUUAGCCAGGCGUGGUGGCGGGCGCGUGCAAUCCCAGCUACUUAAGAGGCUGAGGCAGGAGAAUUGCUGGAACCCGGGAGGCAGAGGUUGCAGUGAGCCGAGAUCGAGCCACUGCACUCCAGCCUGGGUGAGAAGAGUGAAACUCCAUCUCUAAAUAAAGAAAUAAAAGAGAACUCUGGGGCACCAUGUGAGGGGAACUCCAAGGAGAGUCUUGGGUAGAGACGGAGCGAGGAGCACAGGCAGGAUGCUGCGCCUUCCAGGAAAGGUCAGUAAGAUGUCCCCACUGGCAAUGUGAUUCUGGGACCAUCGAGAAUGGGUUAUUUGCUUUGCUGCGUGCAAACUCCUCUCAUCGCUGCAAUCUUUUAGGGAAGCUGCUCACACAAAGGCCUUCUUGCAGAAUCAAGGAGAAGGUACCCAUUUCCUCUGCCACUCUUCUCUGCCCCCAGCCUUCUUCCCUUUCCUCUCAGGAGACUCCACGUUCCUCGAGGGCUUUGCCUUGCUGUUCCCUCUGCCUUGACCACUCUUGCUCCAGAUCCUAGCCGUCACUUCCUCUCCUCGUUCAGGUCCCCGCUCUGAUGUCAUCUCCUCUGUGAGGCCUUGCCUGACUGCAAACUACACACCAACACUCCCUCUCCCCUUGUCUGCUUUGCUUAUUUUCCUAGCACUUAUCUCUUUCUAAUAUGUUAGGUAUUUUCCUUACGUAUUGUCUAUUCUUUGCUAGAGUGUAAGCUCCAUGAGAGCAGGGAUUUGGGUCUUUUUGUUGUUCCUGCUAUAUCCCAAGAGCCUCACUGAGAUCCUGGCACAUUGCAAGCAUUCCUUCAAUUCAUACUGGUUGAAUGGGCCGGGCGACACUGAUUUCAUUUUGGCGAGUCAUCUCCUCCCACUCUUGGUUCUGUGGUUUCCGGUGUGGGUUCCGGUGUGCCCCUGGUAGCUCUGUCUCCAGGGGCAGGCACUCGAUCCAGGCCUGACCAAUCAGAAUCUAUUCCUCUCCCUGGCUACAGUGAUUGGGUCAGGGUGGAUGCCUCAUUCAAGGUGCUGCACUGAGAAUCCGCUCUGAGACUUCCACAUUUUGGGAAAGAGGCACUUCCUCUUUCUGCCUCCAAUGCUGAACUGACAGAAUGAAAGCCUGGAGCUGUGGGUGGCUGUUGCUGCCACCCCACCUCCAGGUGAGAAUCUGCUUGGGAAAGAAGCCACUGUAGAGGAAGGUUCAGCCAGGCGAUGGUUCCAGACACAUUCCUGACAGUGUGUGAGCACCUGGAAGUAGCCUUACUCUGGGACUAAGGUGCUAAUGCUUAUAAAUAUCCUUUUUUUGGCCCAAGCCAGUUUGGACUGGGUUUGUCACUUGCAACAGAAUUUGAACGAGAGGUGUCCGGGCACGGUGGCUCAUGCCUGUCACCCCAGCACUUUGGGAGGCCGAGGUGGGAGGCAUCACCCAAGGUCAGGAGUUCGAGACCAGCCUGGCCAACACGGUGAAACCCAAUCUCUACUAAAAAUACAAAAAUUAGCCAGGCGUGGUGGCGCAUGAUGUAGUCCCAGCUACUCAGGAGGUUGAGGCAGGAGAAUCACUUGAACCUGGGAGGUGGAGGUCGCAGUGAGCCAAGAUCACACCACUACACUCCAGCCUGGGUGACAAGAACGAGACUGUCUCGAGAAAAACCUGCAACACGAGG